rnacentral:miRNA from 1 species
UCAUAGCUGCUGUCACCCUCUGACC